GGAGAGAUGGCCGAGUGGUUUAUGGCGCUAGUCUUGAAAACUAGUGACCCCGCAAGGGGCCGGGGGUUCGAAUCCCUCUCUCUCCGCCA
rnacentral:tRNA from 1 species